rnacentral:rRNA from 1 species
GAUGAACGCUGGCGGCGUGCCUAAUACAUGCAAGUCGAGCGCCUGCAUUUUGCUCACAAAAUUUUUUGUGGUCAGGAUGCAGGAGCGGCGGACGGCUGAGUAAGGCGUAGGAACGUACCCCAAAGUGAGGGAUAAGCACCGGAAACGGUGUCUAAUACCGCAUGUGGUCUAAGGAUUAAAGCCUUCGGGCGCUUUGGGAGCGGCCUACGUAUGAUUAGUUAGUUGGUGAGGUAAUGGCUCACCAAGACGACGAUCAUUAGCUGGUCUAAGAGGAUGAUCAGCCAGACUGGGACUGAGACACGGCCCAGACUCCUACGGGAGGCAGCAGUAGGGAAUCUUCCACAAUGGACGAAAGUCUGAUGGAGCAACGCCGCGUGCAGGAUGAAGGCCUUCGGGUCGUAAACUGCUUUUAUGAGUGAAGAAUUAAGACGGUAACUCAAGAAUAAGGGACGGCUAACUACG